rnacentral:tRNA from 1 species
GCCGCCGUGGCGGAAUUGGCAGACGCGCAUGGUUCAGGUCCAUGUGCCCGUUAAGGGCGUGCUGGUUCGACUCCAGUCGGCGGUAC